rnacentral:rRNA from 1 species
GACGAACGCUGGCGGCGUGCUUAACACAUGCAAGUCGAGCGGAAAGGCCCUUCGGGGUACUCGAGCGGCGAACGGGUGAGUAACACGUGAGUAACCUGCCCCAGACUUUGGGAUAACCCUCGGAAACGGGGGCUAAUACCGGAUACGACACAGCUUCGCAUGGGGUCUGUGUGGAAAGUUUUUCGGUUUGGGAUGGGCUCGCGGCCUAUCAGCUUGUUGGUGGAGUGAUGGCCUACCAAGGCGACGACGGGUAGCCGGCCUGAGAGGGCGACCGGCCACACUGGGACUGAGACACGGCCCAGACUCCUACGGGAGGCAGCAGUGGGGAAUAUUGCACAAUGGGCGGAAGCCUGAUGCAGCGACGCCGCGUGAGGGAUGACGGCCUUCGGGUUGUAAACCUCUUUCAGCAGGGACGAAGCGUAAGUGACGGUACCUGCAGAAGAAGCGCCGGCCAACUACGUG